rnacentral:rRNA from 1 species
GACGAACGCUGGCGGCGUGCUUAACACAUGCCAGUCGAACGGAAAGGCCCUGCUUUUGUGGGGUGCUCGAGUGGCGAACGGGUGAGUAACACGUGAGUAACCUGCCCUUGACUUUGGGAUAACUUCAGGAAACUGGGGCUAAUACCGGAUAGGAGCUCCUGCUGCAUGGGGGGGGUUGGAAAGUUUCGGCGGUUGGGGAUGGACUCGCGGCUUAUCAGCUUGUUGGUGGGGUAGUGGCUUACCAAGGCUUUGACGGGUAGCCGGCCUGAGAGGUUGACCGGCCACAUUGGGACUGAGAUACGGCCCAGACUCCUACGGGAGGCAGCAGUGGGGAAUAUUGCACAAUGGGCGGAAGUCUGAUGCAGCAGCGCCGCGUGCGGGAUGACGGCCUUCGGGUUGUAAACCGCUUUCGCCUGUGACGAAGCGUGAGUGACGGUAAUGGGUAAAGAAGCACCGGCUAACUACGUG